GGAGAGGUGGCCGAGUGGCUGAAGGCAGCUGCCUGCUAAGCAGUUGAACCUUUACGGGUUCCCUGGGUUCGAAUCCCAGCCUCUCCG
rnacentral:tRNA from 1 species